rnacentral:rRNA from 1 species
GAUGAACGCUGGCGGCGUGCCUAAUACAUGCAAGUCGAGCGAACGGACGAGAAGCUUGCUUCUCUGAUGUUAGCGGCGGACGGGUGAGUAACACGUGGAUAACCUACCUAUAAGACUGGGAUAACUUCGGGAAACCGGAGCUAAUACCGGAUAAUAUAUUGAACCGCAUGGUUCAAAAGUAAAAGACGGUCUUGCUGUCACUUAUAGAUGGAUCCGCGCUGCAUUAGCUAGUUGGUAAGGUAACGGCUUACCAAGGCAACGAUGCAUAGCCGACCUGAGAGGGUGAUCGGCCACACUGGAACUGAGACACGGUCCAGACUCCUACGGGAGGCAGCAGUAGGGAAUCUUCCGCAAUGGGCGAAAGCCUGACGGAGCAACGCCGCGUGAGUGAUGAAGGUCUUCGGAUCGUAAAACUCUGUUAUUAGGGAAGAACAUAUGUGUAAGUAACUGUGCACAUCUUGACGGUACCUAAUCAGAAAGCCACGGCUAACUACGUG